UCCGCAGGGCAUGCCUGUUUGAGCGUCGGUUCAAUCUUUGAACUGGGCUUACGAAGAGUUUGUCUGAAAUUGAAGCUCCCCAGCGCUACUACGUAUCCGCAGGGAAUAAUCAAUUCGACCUCAAAUCAGGUAGGAGUACCCGCUGAACUUAAGCAUAUCAAUAAGCGGAGGAAAAGAAACCAACCGGGAUUGCCUCAGUAGCGGCGAGUGAAGCGGCAAAAGCUCCACUUUGAAAGCGUUUCGACGCGUUGUAGUGCGGUUCAGUCUUUGAGUGACGGAUGACUAAGUCCCCUGGAACGGGGUGCCAUAGAGGGUGAGAGCCCCGUGAGUUGUCUUUUUAGCUCUUUAAGUCUUUACCAAAGAGUCGAGUUGUUUGGGAAUGCAGCUCUAAGUGGGUGGUAAAUUCCAUCUAAGGCUAAAUACCGGCGAGAGACCGAUAGCGAACAAGUACAGUGAUGGAAAGAUGAAAAGCACUUUGAAAAGAGAGUGAAACAGUACGUGAAAUUGUUGAAAGGGAAGGGUAUUUGGCCCGACAUGGGUUCUGUGCACCGUUGCCUCUUGUAGGCGGCGCUCUGCUGGAGCCUGGGCCAGCAUCAGUUUUCCGGCGAGGAUAAGAAGUUUUGAACCACAUUGUGGGGAUGAGUUUGAUGCUCGCAUGGGGGACUGAGGACUGCCGUUGUAGGAUGCUGGCAUAACGGCCAAAUACCGCCCGUCUUGAAACAUGGACCAAGGAGUCUAACAUCUAUGCAAGUAUUUGGGAGUGAACCCCAUAUGCGCAAUGAAAGUGAACGUAGGUCGGACCUUAGGGGCACGAUCGACCGAUCCCGAUGUUUAUCGGAAGGAUUUGAGUAAGAGCAUAGCUGUUGGGACCCGAAAGAUGGUGAACUAUGCCUGAAU
rnacentral:rRNA from 1 species